AGUGAACGCUGGCGGUAGGCCUAACACAUGCAAGUCGAACGGCAGCACAGUAAGAGCUUGCUCUUACGGGUGGCGAGUGGCGGACGGGUGAGGAAUACAUCGGAAUCUACUUUUUCGUGGGGGAUAACGUAGGGAAACUUACGCUAAUACCGCAUACAACCUACGGGUGAAAGCAGGGGAUCUUCGGACCUUGCGCGAUUGAAUGAGCCGAUGUCGGAUUAGCUAGUUGGCGGGGUAAAGGCCCACCAAGGCGACGAUCCGUAGCUGGUCUGAGAGGAUGAAUCCACAGAAUGGAACUGAGACACGGUCCCGACUCCUACGGGAGGACGCAGUGGGGAAUCUUGGACAAUGGGCGGAAGCCUGAUCCAGCCAUACCGCGUGAGUGAAGAAGGCCUUCGGGUUGUAAAGCCCUUUUGUUGGGAAAGAAAAGCAGCAGGUUAAUACCCCGCUGUUCUGACGGUACCCAAAGAAUAAGCACCGGCUAACUUCGUG
rnacentral:rRNA from 1 species